CCUACGGGUGGCAGCAGUGAGGAAUAUUGGUCAAUGGACGAGAGUCUGAACCAGCCAAGUAGCGUGAAGGAUGACUGCCCUAUGGGUUGUAAACUUCUUUUAUAUGGAAAUAAAAUGUUCCACGUGUGGGAUUUUGUAUGUACCAUAUGAAUAAGGAUCGGCUAACUCCGUGCCAGCAGCCGCGGUAAUACGGAGGAUCCGAGCGUUAUCCGGAUUUAUUGGGUUUAAAGGGAGCGUAGGUGGAUUGUUAAGUCAGUUGUGAAAGUUUGUGGCUCAACCGUAAAAUUGCAGUUGAAACUGGCAGUCUUGAGUACAGUAGAGGUGGGCGGAAUUCGUGGUGUAGCGGUGAAAUGCUUAGAUAUCACGAAGAACUCCGAUUGCGAAGGCAGUUCACUGGACUGCAACUGACACUGAGGCUCGAAAGUGUGGGUAUCAAACAGGAUUAGAUACCCGGGUAGUC
rnacentral:rRNA from 1 species